rnacentral:tRNA from 1 species
GGCGGUGUAGCUCAGAUGGUCAGAGCACACGGUUCAUACCCGUGGGGUCAGAGGUUCGAGUCCUCUCACCGCUACCA